rnacentral:rRNA from 1 species
GAUGAACGCUGGCGGCGUGCCUAAUACAUGCAAGUCGAGCGAACGGGCGAGAAGCUUGCUUCUCUGAUGUUAGCGGCGGACGGGUGAGUAACACGUGGAUAACCUACCUAUAAGACUGAGAUAACUUCGGGAAACCGGAGCUAAUACCGGAAAAUAUUUUGAACCGCAUGGUUCAAAAGUGAAAGACGGUCUUGCUGUCACUUAUAGAUGGAUCCGCGCUGCAUUAGCUAGUUGGUAAGGUAACGGCUUACCAAGGCAACGAUGCAUAGCCGACCUGAGAGGGUGAUCGGCCACACUGGAACUGAGACACGGUCCAGACUCCUACGGGAGGCAGCAGUAGGGAAUCUUCCGCAAUGGGCGAAAGCCUGACGGAGCAACGCCGCGUGAGUGAUGAAGGUCUUCGGAUCGUAAAACUCUGUUAUUAGGGAAGAACAUAUGUGUAAGUAACUGUGCACAUCUUGACGGUACCUAAUCAGAAAGCCACGGCUAACUACGUG